rnacentral:rRNA from 1 species
UACGAAGGGUGCAAGCGUUACUCGGAAUUAUUGGGCGUAAAGCGUCUGUAGGUGGCUUUUUAAGUCUGCCGUCAAAUCCCAGGGCUUAACCCUGGACAGGCGGUGGAAACUACCAAGCUGGAGUACGGUAGGGGCAGGGGGAAUUUCCGGUGGAGCGGUGAAAUGCGUAGAGAUCGGAAAGAACACCAACGGCGAAAGCACUCUGCUGGGCCGACACUGACACUGAGAGACGAAAGCUAGGGGAGCGAAUGGG